rnacentral:lncRNA from 10 species
CUAUUCUCUAGGCCUUCCCUGCUUCAUGGGUGCAUGUUGCAUGGGCACUCCUGCGCAGCACCUGCCAAGGUCGCUGGGACUCGGGGAUAAAAAGAUGGAAGAGAAAAGGAGGAUGCUCACUUUCUGUCUCCAUCGCACCCCGAGUUUUUCACUGAAAGAAGGAAGAGAAGUCAGGGAUACCUUUAUUCCCUGUCUUUCAGAAUGGGCAACCAGCUCUCUUCUCCAUCCUCAGUUUAUACUCCUCUGGAAUGUAUCCUGAACUGUUGGGACUGCUUUGAUCCUCAGAAUCUGGAGGAAAAACACCUCAUAGCCCUCUGCACAAAGGUGCCUAGUGAAUUUGGGUCCAGUGAAGUCCAGGUCCCCUUCUCUCUACAGGACUUAAAGCAAUGUAACGGGGAUCUUGAAAUAGAAUGGGCCACCUCUUGGGGAUACAUCCUGCAGUCCUCAGGAUGGCUACAAUCGGAGGACAAUAAGCUUCAUCUACCAGCUGCCAACCAAUGGAAAGUACUUAAAAGCCUUCACUAGGCCUUCCACCUAGGCCCAGGUUGGGAGGGACCCUACACUGUACUCCUUUCUACUCCUGUGGCAGUGAAGGUCACUGGAAUAGACUCUUGGAUUCAUUAUACCCAAGUAAAGACUUGGGAAGCCAACAGAGUCACCUCCGUUGACCCAGAAGAACACCCAAAGUACCAAUGUGAAGAGAUUGGGGACCUCAAGCUAAAAAUCACAAAAGACCUAGAAACCAUCAAACUCCAAAUGGUCAGGCAACCAGAGCCUCAGACAAUGGCUCCGCUUUGCUGGGGACCCUUAGAUAGACCUCUGAGAGGAAUCUGACUGCUAUUUUCCCCAAAACAAUGCUCCCUGUCAGCAGGAAGUAGCUAAGUUGCCUUUUGGACUGCCAUGUCCCCCCCGCCUAUCCUGCCCCUGUAUAAACCCAAGACCUUAGUGGGCACACACACAAGUGGCUGAAUGUUGGGACCAGCAGACCAGCGACAGUGGAACAACGCAGCAGAGAAAGAGAGAAGAGGAGUAACAUCUGGAUGCUGAGGGGAAUUCAGCUAGGGGCGGUCAGAGAAGAAUCUGGCCAUUGGGUGGCCUGACUCCAGGGGAAGACCACCUUACCACUCCAUCCACCCCCUUCUGACUCCCCAUCCAUCUCACUGAGAGCCACCUUCACCAUUCAAUAAAAUCUUGCACUCAUCUUUCGA